AUUGAACGCUGGCGGCAGGCUUAACACAUGCAAGUCGAGCGGGGGGAGGUAGCUUGCUACCGGACCUAGCGGCGGACGGGUGAGUAAUGCUUAGGAAUCUGCCUAUUAGUGGGGGACAACAUCUCGAAAGGGAUGCUAAUACCGCAUACGUCCUACGGGAGAAAGCAGGGGAUCUUCGGACCUUGCGCUCAUAGAUGAGCCUAAGUCGGAUUAGCUAGUUGGUGGGGUAAAGGCCUACCAAGGCGACGAUCUGUAGCGGGUCUGAGAGGAUGAUCCGCCACACUGGGACUGAGACACGGCCCAGACUCCUACGGGAGGCAGCAGUGGGGAACAUUGGACAAUGGGGGGAACCCUGAUCCAGCCAUGCCGCGUGUGUGAAGAAGGCCUUAUGGUUGUAAAGCACUUUAAGCGAGGAGGAGGCUACUUUAGUUAAUACCUAGAGAUAGUGGACGUUACUCGCAGAAUAAGCACCGGCUAACUCUGUGCCAGCCGCCGCGGUAA
rnacentral:rRNA from 1 species